AGCGAGCGCUGGCGGCAGGCCUAACACAUGCAAGUCGAACGAAGUCUUCGGACUUAGUGGCGGACGGGUGAGUAACACGUGGGAACGUGCCUUUAGGUUCGGAAUAACUCAGGGAAACUUGUGCUAAUACCGAAUGUGCCCUUCGGGGGAAAGAUUUAUCGCCUUUAGAGCGGCCCGCGUCUGAUUAGCUAGUUGGUGAGGUAAAGGCUCACCAAGGCGACGAUCAGUAGCUGGUCUGAGAGGAUGAUCAGCCACAUUGGGACUGAGACACGGACCAAACACCUACGGGAGGCAGCAGUGGGGAAUCUUGCGCAAUGGGCGAAAGCCUGACGCAGCCAUGCCGCGUGAAUGAUGAAGGUCUUAGGAUUGUAAAAUUCUUUCACCGGGGACGAUAAUGACGGUACCCGGAGAAGAAGCCCCGGCUAACUUCGUGCCAGCCGCCGCAGUAA
rnacentral:rRNA from 1 species